AAAGGGAGAGUAAUACGUAGAAAUCUGCCCCGGAGUCUGGGAUAGCGUUGGGAAACUGGCGGUAAUACCGGAUAACGUCUUCGGACCAAAGAAUUUCGCUCUGGGAUGAGUCUACGACCUAUUAGCUGGUUGGUGAGGUAACGGCUCACCAAGGCGACGAUGGGUAGCGGGUGUGAGAGCAUGAUCCGCCUCACUGGGACUGAGACACUGCCCAGACAUCUACGGAUGGCUGCAGUCGAGAAUCUUUGUCAAUGGACGAAAGUCUGAACAAGCGACGCCGCAUGCGGGAUGAAGGCCCUCGGGUUGUAAACCGCUGUCAGAGGGGAGGAAAUUUUGACUGAACCUCAGAGGAAGGACGGGCUAAGUUCGUGCCAGCAGCCGCGGUAAGACGAACCGUCCGAACGUUAUUCGGUAUCACUGGGCUUAAAGAGUCCGUAGGCGGCCAUGUGGGUCAGAUGUGAAAUCCCACAGCUCAACUGUGGAACUGCGUUUGAAACCACAUGGCUUGAGGAAGAUAGAGGUGAGCGGAACAGAUGGUGGAGCGGUGAAAUGCGUUGAUAUCAUCUGGAACACCGGUGGCGAAAGCGGCUCACUGGAUCUUUUCUGACGCUGAGGGACGAAAGCUAGGGUAGCGAACGGGAUUAGAUACCCCGGUAGUCCUAGCCGUAAACGAUGAGCACUAGUCCGUGGGG
rnacentral:rRNA from 1 species